rnacentral:misc_RNA from 1 species
AAGCCCACGAAGCGGGAUAGGAACAAAGGAAAGAGAAGCACCGACACGGCGCACACGUAGCCGCGCAUGCACAACGGUUUUGCACGGCACCCCUUCCCUCGCCUCCAUCUCGGUUUCUCGCGCGCUCUCUCUCUCUGAUGAAGUGCAGCGCGGCCCUUUGCCGCGUGGCAUCGGCCGUCGCCGCCGCCGUCCCGAAGAGCUGCAGGAACACCCCGUACACGAAGAAGGACGAGGCAUCCGCGACGCGUCCAAUAAAGAACACCACGCCGAAGCUGGCCGACGCCAGCAAUCAAAGCGUGCGCUGCGGCGGCGGUCGGUGCAGCAACUUCCUCGACGUCGCCCCUGUGCCGCCACCGGCGUCGGUCUUUCGCGCCGCUGCCGCCAACGGCUCCACGUUCAUCGACCCCAGCUCCUCGGCGGUUGCCACCAGCUUCAACAACAACUGCCACAUAAAAUCUUUCCGCCAGCGCGUCUGCACCGCCACGGAUGUGUCGAUGCGGCCACUGCUGUUGCUACUCGAUGAUUCACAGGCACUGAACGCUAUGGCCGCCAACGCCAGCAUCGCCAGCGCUGCGGCGGCAGCCAUGAAGAGUGGAAGGUCCAAGUACGGCGACGUGCUGGAGCAGCUGUCAUGUCGCUGGGCGGCGAAGUUCUACGGCAAGGUCACGUAUGGCCCGCGCAACUAUCCAUACCCGUCUUCGCGUUGGCUGGCUCGCCGCUUCCAGAUGAAGAAGCAUCGCAUUCUCAAGCGCUUCCGCUUCCGCCGCUACAAACUCGCAGCCGUGGCGAAUCUGCCCUUUGCCAAGAUGAUUCGUGUAGGGAUGCUGCCGGAGCUGAAGAGCAGCAAGACAAAGAAGGGCGACACCGUGGACAUGGGCCUGUCCUCGCAGCUGGUCAGCGCAGCGCGGUCGUCGGCUGGCGCGACCAAGACAAAGGGCAAGCGCACGCGUCCAAAGUCGAAGUACCAGGUGUGAAGCCGAGUUACACCACGGUGUGUGUGUGUGUGUGUGGGUGGGUGGGUGUGGGUGUGGGUGUGGGUGUGGGUGUGGGUGUGUGUCUAUGUAGGGUCUUUUGUGGGGCGGCCAGCCGUCUGUGUGGCUCGCACUGCUGUCGCGGCCAGCUGUCCGUGUUCGCGGGGCGCGGAGCCUGUAUAUAAGCGCUUUGGGUGUACCGCGCCGUUUGCCUUUCUGCGGUAGUUGUCAUUGUUCGCUCGCUCUUUCUCACGCCCGAGGUGCGUACGGUUGUGUGCGAGUGCCAUGUCCAGCAUGUUUGCUGGCUUGUCCACUGCGCAGAGGCGUCAUGCAUGAAGAGUUCCUCCCUCCGAAUCCCCCCCCCAACCUGCGUCUGUUCUUCUCUCUCGCCUCUGUGUAACCACACGUCCUGAAAAGGCAACAG